CAAGACUCGUGGUAUACUUGAAACCUUCCUCCUCCUCUGUUAUCUCAUCCGUUUUAUCCAUCGUCGAAUGCUCGAAUGUGACUGGAUACACACAUCCCUUAUAGAGAUGAGGAUCAGAAAUUGGUUGAUGAAAUGAUACCUUGGGAAAUUAUGGGCUUUACCAGCUAGGGAGCACUGUUAUUCGCGUCGUAGCUGUCCUCUCCUUUUUCCCCGCGUAAGGGGGCCGCGAGUUUCGGUUCCGAGGAAUCGCCCGGCGAUGAAAUAAGGAAUCGGUAAUAAUUAGCGCCCAACGGCGAAAGAUCGGUGACAUAACGUGUUAAGUAUAGGUGAGAUUCGUUUGAAUAAACGUUCGAUAAGAAUCGAUUAAAUCAGGUAUAAUCAUUGAAAGAUCUCGAACCAUCCACUACUGACCAAAGAACUUUCCCUCUACAAAAUUAUAAAAAUCUGUUGAUAAGGAAUGUUGUACGUAAGAAUUUUAUUAUGAAUUUGUUUUUAACACGACGGGGUGUCGACAGAGUGUUACGCUUUUCAUCUCCGACAAAAGUUAUCCGUCGUCUGCAAACUUGUUCAACCGCUGCGCUGGAAACAAUGAUUGAUGCAUUGCUGUAAGUAGGUACGUUAGAAGAGGUAACGCAAGCGAAGGGGAACGAGCAGCGCGUAGAUGAGCGCUCGUUCUCAGUGCUCUGUUAUUAUGUAACGUAAAACAAUAUCAUAAUAUCGUUUCUUGACCAUCAUAAUUAAUUGUGUUCCAUGUGAAAUUUCUGAAAUUAUACAAAUAAUUCCUCUCUUGUGAUUACAUGCAGUAUCCUCCAUGCAAUCGUCGUUUAUUGCUAUUUUAACUGCGAUAGAAGUCGGCAUAUUUUCAUGAAAGUGAGUAAUCUUACGAUAAAAGAAAAAUUGAAAUUAGGGCAGAGUGCUCUUUUUGUUCGACAGUGUAUCUGACAGAGUGCUCUGGGAAAUUCACAAUGCGUCAAUUAGAAAUACUAGCCAGAUGCCUCAAAUAUUAGCUAUAUCAGUUUAUCAAGUGCUGAGAAAGUUUGCGGAGAUUUUUCAGUACAAAAUGGCUUCACAGUUGUGAGCUGCUUACUUUCAGCAAUUUCGUAUGGAGCGUGCUACGUAUUGAUCGACUCAU